rnacentral:rRNA from 1 species
GCGGCAAGCCUAACACAUGSMRGYCGMGSGRCAGCGGAAGGAAGCUUGCUUCCUUGCCGGCGAGCGGCGGACGGGUGAGUAAGGUAUGGGGAUCUGGCCGAAGGCGGGGGAUAACCACUGGAAACGGUGGCUAAUACCGCAUAAUCUCUARGGAGCAAAGUGGGGGACCGUUCUGGCCUCACACCUUCGGAUGAACCCAUAUGAGAUUAGCUAGUAGGUGGGGUAAUGGCUCACCUAGGCGACGAUCUCUAGCUGGUCUGAGAGGAUGAUCAGCCACACUGGGACUGAGACACGGCCCAGACUCCUACGGGAGGCAGCAGUGGGGAAUAUUGCACAAUGGGCGCAAGCCUGAUGCAGCCAUGCCGCGUGUAUGAAGAAGGCCUUCGGGUUGUAAAGUACUUUCAGUCGUGAGGAAGGUGUUAAGGUUAAUAACCUUAGCAAUUGACGUUAGCGACAGAAGAAGCACCGGCUAACUCCGUGCCAGCAGCCGCGGUAAUACGGAGGGUGCGAGCGUUAAUCGGAAUUACUGGGCGUAAAGGGCACGCAGGCGGUUAAUUAAGUUGGAUGUGAAAUCCCCGGGCUUAACCUGGGAAUGGCAUUCAAGACUGGUUAGCUAGAGUCUUGUAGAGGGGGGUAGAAUUCCAUGUGUAGCGGUGAAAUGCGUAGAGAUGUGGAGGAAUACCGGUGGCGAAGGCGGCCCCCUGGACAAAGACUGACGCUCAUGUGCGAAAGCGUGGGGAGCAAACAGGAUUAGAUACCCUGGUAGUCCACGCUGUAAACGAUGUCGAUUUGGAGGUUGUGGUCAUGAACUGUGGCCUCCGGAGCUAACGCGUUAAAUCGACCGCCUGGGGAGUACGGCCGCAAGGUUAAAACUCAAAUGAAUUGACGGGGGCCCGCACAAGCGGUGGAGCAUGUGGUUUAAUUCGAUGCAACGCGAAGAACCUUACCUACUCUUGACAUCCAGCGAAUUCUUUAGAGAUAGAGGAGUGCCUUCGGGAGCGCUGAGACAGGUGCUGCAUGGCUGUCGUCAGCUCGUGUUGAGAAAUGUUGGGUUAAG